rnacentral:snRNA from 1 species
CCCAAACAUGUAAAGACUUG